rnacentral:rRNA from 1 species
UACAGAGGGGGCAAGCGUUAUUCGGAAUUAUUGGGCGUAAAGGGCGCGUAGGCGGCUUUGCAAGUGACGGGUGAAAUCCCUCGGCUUAACCGAGGAACUGCCUGUCAGACUGCAUGGCUUGAGACCGGGAGAGGUGAGUGGAAUUCCCAGUGUAGCGGUGAAAUGCGUAGAUAUUGGGAGGAACACCAGUGGCGAAGGCGGCUCACUGGACCGGUACUGACGCUGAUGCGCGAAAGCGUGGGGAGCGAACAGG